rnacentral:tRNA from 1 species
AUAGAUAUAGUUUAUAGUAAAAUAUCUAACUGUUAAUUAGAAGAAUUAAGAUCUAUA